CGUGGCGAAAGAAAAGACAUACAAGUUACUCAAUCUAUAAUGCAGCAGUAUGGAAGAAAUUUAUGUUUGAUGGUCCACAGUAUGCUUCCAGAGCAUUCCGGGUCCAAGUCACAGCUGCAGAGAGCAGUCAGAAAGUUUGAACUACUGGCACAUUCCAGCCAUCCAUUUCCCCUUCCUCAGUAUUCCUGGAGAAUGAUUCUACAAAAAAGUCCAGAGGCAUCUUAUCUUUCUUCUUCUGUAUGUUCCCGUUGGCAACCUGGUUGGCACUUUGGAUAUGUUUUUUCACUUCUUCUGUUUAUAAGAUAUACAUAUUAAUCAAGGGGAUUUUCAUGUGCCAAACCAAAAGUGUGCAGUGUCAAGAGCAACCUGAUGAAACCAGUCACAGGAGUAAAUUAAACAAGAACAAGAGAGAGAUUUGGACCUCUUUUGAAUACUGCAGCCCAACAGCCAAGCAGGAAAUAAGAAAAAGCACUAGCCAGGCAGAUCUACAGAGCUAAUUGAGUCCAAAUGAAUGUCAAGGCUACCAAGCACUUGUGAGUGGGGAAAAAAAAAUUGGGUUUGGCUUGUGUACACAGAACCUAUUUUAUGCUCACUUUGGGCCGGGUUCACUAGGGUAGUACAAUGGUGAAUUAGACCAGGUAUUUCCUCCAAAAUUGUUAAAGUUUGGCAUAUUGUUUACAUUACUUGCUAUUUCAAGAUUACAAUAAUUAUAUUUCUUUGUGUUUGAUUUUGAAACUUUACA